rnacentral:snRNA from 1 species
CAGCCCUGGUUUCUCUUCAAAUUGUACAAAUCUUUCACCUUUUACUAGAGAUUUGCGUGGAGAAAAGCGGUAUUGAGUAAUGGUAUAAAAAUUCAAAUUCCAACUGCUGGUAC